GGAUGAACGCUGGCGGCGUGCCUAAUACAUGCAAGUCGAGCGAACAGACGAGGAGCUUGCUCCUCUGACGUUAGCGGCGGACGGGUGAGUAACACGUGGAUAACCUACCUAUAAGACUGGGAUAACUUCGGGAAACCGGAGCUAAUACCGGAUAAUAUAUUGAACCGCAUGGUUCAAUAGUGAAAGACGGUUUUGCUGUCACUUAUAGAUGGAUCCGCGCCGCAUUAGCUAGUUGGUAAGGUAACGGCUUACCAAGGCGACGAUGCGUAGCCGACCUGAGAGGGUGAUCGGCCACACUGGAACUGAGACACGGUCCAGACUCCUACGGGAGGCAGCAGUAGGGAAUCUUCCGCAAUGGGCGAAAGCCUGACGGAGCAACGCCGCGUGAGUGAUGAAGGUCUUCGGAUCGUAAAACUCUGUUAUUAGGGAAGAACAAAUGUGUAAGUAACUAUGCACGUCUUGACGGUACCUAAUCAGAAAGCCACGGCUAACUACGUG
rnacentral:rRNA from 1 species